UACAGAGGGUGCGAGCGUUAAUCGGAAUUACUGGGCGUAAAGGGCGCGUAGGUGGUUUUUUAAGUCAGAUGUGAAAUCCCUGGGCUUAACCUAGGAAUUGCAUUUGAUACUGGAAGGCUAGAGUACAGAAGAGGGAAGUGGAAUUUCCGGUGUAGCGGUGAAAUGCGUAGAUAUCGGAAGGAACAUCAGUGGCGAAGGCGACUUCCUGGUCUGUUACUGACACUGAGGCGCGAAAGCGUGGGGAGCAAAC
rnacentral:rRNA from 1 species